rnacentral:lncRNA from 1 species
AGUCGACUGUUGCGCGUGCGCGCGCUGUGACGUUCCCUACGCGGUCGGGCGUUGGGUUUCGCGGCGCUCGCCGCACUGGUUGUUCAGCACCUUCGGUCCGGUUGAGGUUGUCAAGUCGGACCAAACAGGUUGUUUCUCUGCAGUUUCCAACAUGGCAGGGAGGUUUAAUAGACAUGGAUAAGAAGUCCACUCACAGAAAUCCUGAAGAUGCCAGGGCUGGCAAAUAUGAAGGUAAACACAAACGAAAGAAAAGAAGAAAGCAAAACCAAAACCAGCACCGAUCCCGACAUAGAUCAGUGACGUCUUUUUCUUCAGAUGAUCCUAUGUUUCCUUCUUCCUCAUCAUCGUCUUCAGGAAGCCAGACAGAUUCAAGUAUUGAAGUAACACAGACCCUCUGUAGAAUACCCAGGAGGGAUAGGAAUGAAUCAGAGAUGCUGCCAAGGGAAAAAUUAAGAAGAAGAGAAGAGAGAAAACAAAUAAAUGGGAAAAAAGAAAGGACAAAAUAUGAAACACCAAGAAAAAGAGAAGGAAAAAAAGGAGGAAACAACCACAUAUGUCACCUUUCCAAGAGGGACUGAAACUGGGCUGACCCUUUUGAUUUCCAAGCUCAGCGUUUUGGUGUAAGGCGGCCAAAGAAGGAUGCGGAGCCCAGCACUGUGAAGCCUACAAAAACAUUGAUGCGCUGGCUUGGGGAUUUGAAUUUGAACAUCUUUCACACUAAGUUCAGACUCAUGAAACCAAUCUUCAGAUGCUCUGUAAACCACAUAAUAAAGAGUUUGGAAAUUA